CCUACGGGAGGCAGCAGUGGGGAAUAUUGGGCAAUGGGCGCAAGCCUGACCCAGCAACGCCGCGUGAAGGAAGAAGGCUUUCGGGUUGUAAACUUCUUUUCUCAGGGACGAAGAAAGUGACGGUACCUGAGGAAUAAGCCACGGUUAACUACGUGCCAGGAGCAGCGGCAAUACGUAGGUUGCAAGCGUUAUCCGGAUGUAUUGGGUGUAAAGGUCGUGUAGGCGGGAGCGCAAGUCAGAUGUGAAAACUAAGGGCUCAGCCAUGAGCCUGCAUUUGAAACUGUGUUUCUUGAGUGCUGGGGAGGCAAUCGGAAUUCGGUGUGUAGCGGUGAAAUGCGUAGAUAUACGGAGGAACACCAGUGGCGAAGGCGGAUUGCUGGACAGUAACUGACGCUGAGGCGCGAAAGCGUGGGGAGCAAACAGGAUUAGAUACCCCUGUAGUC
rnacentral:rRNA from 1 species